UACAGAGACUGCAAGCGUUAAUCGGAAUUACUGGGCGUAAAGCGUGCGCAGGCGGUUUUGCAAGUCUGUCGUGAAAUCCCCGGGCUCAACCUGGGAAUUGCGAUGGAGACUGCAAGGCUAGAAUCUGGCAGAGGGGGGUAGAAUUCCACGUGUAGCAGUGAAAUGCGUAGAGAUGUGGAGGAACACCGAUGGCGAAGGCAGCCCCCUGGGUCAAGAUUGACGCUCAUGCACGAAAGCGUGGGGAGCAA
rnacentral:rRNA from 1 species